CAUGCAAGUCGAGCGAAGCAAUUUAAGUGAAGUUUUCGGAUGGAUCUUAGAUUGACUGAGCGGCGGACGGGUGAGUAACGCGUGGAUAACCUGCCUCACACAGGGGGAUAACAGUUAGAAAUGACUGCUAAUACCGCAUAAGCGCACAGUACCGCAUGGUAUAGUGUGAAAAACUCCGGUGGUGUGAGAUGGAUCCGCGUCUGAUUAGGUAGUUGGUGAGGUAACGGCCCACCAAGCCGACGAUCAGUAGCCGACCUGAGAGGGUGACCGGCCACAUUGGGACUGAGACACGGCCCAAACUCCUACGGGAGGCAGCAGUGGGGAAUAUUGCACAAUGGGCGAAAGCCUGAUGCAGCAACGCCGCGUGAGUGAAGAAGUAUCUCGGUAUGUAAAGCUCUAUCAGCAGGGAAGAAAAUGACGGUACCUGACUAAGAAGCCCCGGCUAACUACGUGCCAGCAGCCGCGGUAAUACGUAGGGGGCAAGCGUUAUCCGGAUUUACUGGGUGUAAAGGGAGCGCAGACGGCACUACAAGUCUGAAGUGAAAGCCCGGGGCUCAACCCCGGGACUGCUUUGGAAACUGUAGAGCUAGAGUGCUGGAGAGGCAAGUGGAAUUCCUAGUGUAGCGGUGAAAUGCGUAGAUAUUAGGAAGAACACCAGUGGCGAAGGCGGCUUGCUGGACAGUAACUGACGUUCAGGCUCGAAAGCGUGGGGAGCAAACAGGAUUAGAUACCCUGGUAGUCCACGCUGUAA
rnacentral:rRNA from 1 species